UACGUAGGGGGCAAGCGUUGUCCGGAUUUAUUGGGCGUAAAGAGCUCGUAGGUGGUUCGGUAAGUCGGAUGUGAAAUCUCCAGGCUCAACCUGGAGGGGUCAUUCGAUACUGCCGUGACUAGAGGUCGGUAGGGGAGUGUGGAAUUCCGGGUGUAGCGGUGGCAUGCGUAGAGAUCCGGAAGAACACCGGUGGCGAAGGCGGCCUGCUGGGCAGUGGCUGACGCUGAGGCGCGACAGCGUGGGGAGCAAACAGG
rnacentral:rRNA from 1 species